ensembl:snRNA U6 U6 spliceosomal RNA
GUGCACGCUUCGGCAGCCCAUAUGCUAACACUGGAACAUUACAUUAGCAUGGCCCCUGCGCAGGGAUGACAUGCAAAUUCGUGAAGGCUCCAUAUUUUU